UCCUACGGGGGGCAGCAGUGAGGAAUAUUGGUCAAUGGGCGUAAGCCUGAACCAGCCAUCCCGCGUGCAGGAAGAAGGCGCUAUGCGUUGUAAACUGCUUUUCCAGGGAAAGAAAACCCCCGACGUGUCGGGGCUUGCCGGUACCCUGGGAAUAAGCAUCGGCUAACUCCGUGCCAGCAGCCGCGGUAAUACGGAGGAUGCGAGCGUUAUCCGGAUUUAUUGGGUUUAAAGGGUGCGUAGGCGGGUUAAUAAGUCAGUGGUGAAAACCUUCAGCUUAACUGGAGACUUGCCAUUGAUACUGUUAGUCUUGAGUACGGUCAAGGUAGGCGGAAUGUGUAAUGUAGCGGUGAAAUGCUUAGAUAUUACACAGAACACCGAUUGCGAAGGCAGCUUACUGGACCAAUACUGACGCUGAUGCACGAAAGCGUGGGGAGCGAACAGGAUUAGAUACCCUGGU
rnacentral:rRNA from 1 species